rnacentral:ncRNA from 1 species
AUUGCAGGGGAGCGUGCCGGAAGGCAGGCUGAGAGGAAGCUAGGCUUUGACCCUUUGACCUGAUGCGGAUAAUGCCGCCGUAGGGAGUCU